GAUGAACGCUGGCGGCGUGCCUAAUACAUGCAAGUCGAGCGAACGGACGAGAAGCUUGCUUCUCUGAUGUUAGCGGCGCACGGGUGAGUAACACGUGUAUAACCUACCUAUAAGACUGGGAUAACUUCGGGAAACCGGAGCUAAUACCGUAUAAUAUUUUGAACCGCAUGGUUCAAAAGUGAAAGACGGUCUUGCUGUCACUUAUAGAUGGAUCCGCGCUGCAUUAGCUAGUUGGUAAGGUAACGGCUUACCAAGGCAACGAUGCAUAGCCGACCUGAGAGGGUGAUAGGCAGCACUGGAACUGAGACACGGUCCAGACUCCUACGGGAGGCAGCAGUAGGGAAUCUUACGCAAUGGGCGAAAGCCUGACGGAGCAACGCCGCGUGAGUGAUGAAGGUCUUCGGAUCGUAAAACUCUGUUAUUAGGGAAGAACAUAUGUGUAAGUAACUGUGCACAUCUUGACGGUACCUAAUCAGAAAGCCACGGCUAACUACGUG
rnacentral:rRNA from 1 species